UCUCUACUUGGCUUCUUAUGAGAGCGAAGGACCCGAAAAUCACAUAGAGAAAGACAGAUGGAAGUCUUUACGGUCAAGCCUCCUAGGCAGAGUUUAACACGUGGGAUCUGAUCGCUGCUGCUGCCGCCACCUCCUCCUCCUCCGCACCAUGCAAAUCAUCGAGGAGCUGGCCUUUGUUUUCUGGCAUCUAGGACUAGGAAAAAUCACGAAGACCCCGCAGUCAUCGGGGCGCCCCGGUCCGCUAUGCAAGCAGCUCACUCCAGAGCAGAUGGGAACUCACGUCCCACGGCUGACAGAUUGACUCAGAGUUUGAGAGACUGAAAUGUUCACUGACGACCACUCGAGAAAGAGUCCUCUGAAGAUCCCGGCUCUGCGCAUGAUUCAUCUCCUGGAAUUUCCGUGUGAAUCACAGCUCUGCACCUGGACGGAGCUUUCUUCUGUGUGUGUGUUUUUAUUAUUCGGUUGAACAUUUGCUGCUAAUGGGACUUGCCCAGCUUUGAGCGCUGGCUCUUCGGAAGCCCAUGUUUAACUUAAAUGAAAAAGGGAGAGGGGGGAGGGGGUCUAAAAGCCCCCCUGUUUGGAUCCCAAACCACAGCUCAGCCAGUGUUGCCGGAGAGGGGCAAGACUGGUUGGACGCUGACUUUGUUUCCCGUUAGUGUGUGCUGUGUUGUCAAUUCCUCUCCCCCCUCUUCCUACAAGGUCUUGAGUUGGCUGCUGGUUAGCAAACUCCUUUUUACCCAUAUAAGUUAUUUAAUAUAAUGAUGAAGCUCAACACUGUGGUAGGAAAAUAGCCACUAGGAAGAAAAAAAAAAAAGCAGAGUUUGUCCUUGGACUGCU